GGCUUCGGUUAUCAUUAACGGAAAAGGCCCGUUCUCUGGUGAGAGAGGAACCCUAGAUCGCGUUGUCGGGAGGUCGUCGCCUCCACACUGGCUUGACGUUUCCGGUACCUUCCGCAGAGAAACGGUUCAGCCUUUACUACCAUUGAUUGGUACCUCCACUAUGUGCCUUCAAUGCGAUCCUUGCGUCUCAGAGGCGAUGGGGUUUCUGCGUAUAAACUUAGGGUUCAUUGUCUUCUUCGAACUCACCUUCUUCGAUCUGUCCUCCAAUAUGCGACGUCUUUAGCCUGCAAUGGAGAUUCAGCAUGUCGUCUCGGAGGAAUCAUUUCGAGGAGACUCUGUGUCAUGGUGAGAUUUCGUUUUUUCGUCUUCACUGAAUGAAUCAUCAGAGAUGGUUCGAUUUGUCUGGAUUCAAUGAUGUUACUAAUCUUCUUAACUCCCUCAAUUCCCGUCAAGCACGACACCCUCAUUCGAUGAUACGUAUCCAUGUCAGAGUCGGUGUUUCUCCACUUAUAAACAGCUGGCCAUUCUUCUUCCACCCUCGAAGUGAGGCUACUGAUUUUUUGGGAAGCUAGAAACGUCGAACGUGGUGGGGAGUCGAUAUGCUUCUCCUAGAUGCCAAGAUAUCUAUCUCGAUCAACAGCGCUUCCAUGGUUUGCUCAAGUGUGAAACUAGAGAACAUAAGGAAGAGCUCCAAAGGCGUCAUUAUGCUCAAGUACGUUACUUGGGAAGUGAAAAGAGGAGAGAGAGCAGGGCUAGUAAGCUUUAGCGGAGCGGGGGAAGACGACCCAGCUCAGGAUCAUCAAGAACCCGAUUCAGGUUACGUUAGAGUUCAUGGGUGAUUUCAAGGAAGAGAUGGAGAUAACCAAGAAGCUGGAGAAAAUUCAGAAGGUUAUUGAAGGCUCUGUAUAUGGGAAGGUUCUUAGACGAGUUUGAUAUGUUGCAGAGAAGAUCUCAAGCUGUGAACUUAGACAUGGUCUAAGUUAAAGUUAGUAAGCUGAUACUGGGGUUAUGGUUUGUACCAGAGGAUGCUGAUAGGCUUGUGGCUUCGUUUAGCGGUGGAUGGCAAAUGAGAAUGUCACUCAGAAAUAUUCAGCUUCAGGAUCCAGAAUUGCUGCUACUUGAUGAGCCUACAAACCAUUUGGAUCUUGAUACUAUUGAAUGGCUUGAAGGCUAUUUUCAAAAGAAAGAGAUGCCUAUGGUUAUAAUCUCACACGACAGAGCCUUCUUGAUCAGUUGUGUACCAAAAUUGUGGAAGCCGAGAUGGCUGUUAGAAGAACAUUCGAGGGUAACUACUGUCAAUAUAUGAUCUCAAAGGUAGAGUGAUUGAAACUCAGAAUGCAGCUUGGGAAAAACAGCAGAAAGAAACUGAAUCAACUAAGGACUUAAUCGCUAGGCUUGGCGCGGGUGAAAACUUUGGCCGUGUUCAACUGCCGAAAAGAUUAGGUGGUUGAAAUGCUUCAAUGAUUUCCUAAGUAUAACGGUUGGUGUGCCCCUUCUCAAGCGGGCUUCAGGAAAUUGAAGAGUUAAAUAAAUAACUAAGGGAUUGGAUUUAAAAUGUUAUCUCUUCUUCUUUCUAAUCUGUCCUUUUUCUGUAACAACUCUAAUCUUUCCUUUAUAAUUCUUCUUCUCAUGUUUCAGGAUUAGAUAAUUUACAUUGAGGAUAUGCAAUUCUAGGAUAAAUAUUACAACAAGUCAGUCGAGUUGCAGCUAUUGCUGAAAGGAACAAGUGAUGGUAUUUGGUACCCAUCAGCACUCAACCAUUGUCUUCUUUUUCUUCCUAAAGAAACAAAUUAUUCAAACUUUAUAAUAUCAACAAAGAAAUAAGAGU